rnacentral:misc_RNA from 1 species
AAAGUCGUAACAAGGUAACCGUAGGUGAACCUGCGGUUGGAUCAUUAAAUAAAAACUUCGGAAGUUACUGGGGGAUUUUGGUCCGGGAGAGAGUAAUCUCCUCCCCGGGGGAACCAAGCCUCCAGUCUCAGCCGUCAACCUGAAUGUGAACUGUGCUGUCCCUGGCAGUGGGGCAAGCUAGUCGUACCACAGUUGAUGAUUGUGUAGCGAUUGCUUGUCUGUCAGCUUGCACCUUCAGGGGUGUGAGCCGUGGACAAACUGCCAACCACUUGUCUGAACCAGUGAGGUAUCCAUGAUAUUUGUCUGAACAUUUUUCACUGUUUGACAACAGAAUGAGAAACAUACAACUUUUGGCAACGGAUCUCUUGGCUCUC